UGUCGAACGGAUUAUUCUUUAUAGCUUGCUACGGAUUUGGUUAGUGGCAGACGGGUGAGUAAUGCAUAGGAAUCUACCUAGUAGUAUGGGAUAGCCACUGGAAAUGGUGGGUAAUACCGUAUAAUCCCCGCGGGGGAAAGAUUUAUCGCUAUUAGAUGAGCCUAUGUCGGAUUAGCUAGUUGGUGGGGUAAUGGCCUACCAAGGCAGUGAUCUGUAGCUGGUCUGAGAGGAUGAUCAGCCACACUGGAACUGAGACACGGUCCAGACUCCUACGGGAGGCAGCAGUGGGGAAUAUUGGACAAUGGGCGCAAGCCUGAUCCAGCUAUGCCGCGUGAGUGAGGAAGGCCUUAGGGUUGUAAAACUCUUUCAGUAGGGAAGAUAAUGACGGUACCUAUAA
rnacentral:rRNA from 1 species